GACUGUGUAUGAUGACUUGAUUAAUCAAUGGGAAUCUCUCUGAAAAAGAAUGAGGGACAUUUCUUGUGCUGAUGCAGUG